AUAGGCGAAGCGUGCGAUUGGAUUGCACGUCUAAGCAGUAAGGCUGAGUAUUAGGCAAAUCCGGUACUCGUUAAGGCUGAGCUGUGAUGGGGAGAAGAUAUUGAGUCUUCGAGUCGUUGAUUUCACACUGCCGAGAAAAGCCUCUAGAUAGAAAAUAGGUGCCCGUACCGCAAACCGACACAGGUAGUCAAGAUGAGAAUUC
rnacentral:rRNA from 1 species